AAAGGUGAGGAUACAGUCCUAAAAUCUGUAUCCGAACCUAAGUAAAGAGAAAGUUGUCCGAUUAAUGGGGGCCCGAAGUUGUGGUUGGUGAUUGGGGUG
rnacentral:rRNA from 1 species